rnacentral:rRNA from 1 species
UACGAAGGGGGCUAGCGUUGCUCGGAAUCACUGGGCGUAAAGCGCGCGUAGGCGGAUCGUUAAGUCGGGGGUGAAAUCCUGGAGCUCAACUCCGGAACUGCCUCCGAUACUGGCGAUCUUGGAGUCCGGGAGAGGUGAGUGGAACUCCGAGUGUAGAGGUGAAAUUCGUAGAUAUUCGGAAGAACACCAGUGGCGAAGGCGGCUCACUGGCCCGGUACUGACGCUGAGGUGCGAAAGCGUGGGGAGCAAACAGG